AGAGUUUGAUCCUGGCUCAGGACGAACGCUGGCGGCGUGCUUAACACAUGCAAGUCGAACGGGGUCCAUCUCUUCGCAAGAAGAGGGAAGACCUAGUGGCGAACGGGUGCGUAACACGUGAGGAACCUGCCCCGAAGACCGGGACAACACCGGGAAACCGGUGCUAAUACCGGAUAUCCCCAUCGAAUCGCAUGGUUUGAUGAGGAAAUGGAUUCCGCUUUGGGAGGGCCUCGCGGCCUAUCAGCUUGUUGGUGAGGUAACGGCUCACCAAGGCUUCGACGGGUAGCUGGUCUGAGAGGACGACCAGCCACACUGGGACUGAGACACGGCCCAGACUCCUACGGGAGGCAGCAGUGGGGAAUCUUGCGCAAUGGGCGAAAGCCUGACGCAGCAACGCCGCGUGCGGGAUGACGGCCUUCGGGUUGUAAACCGCUUUCAGUAGGGACGAAAUUGACGGUACCUGCAGAAGAAGCCCCGGCCAACUACGUGCCAGCAGCCGCGGUAAUACGUAGGGGGCAAGCGUUGUCCGGAUUCAUUGGGCGUAAAGAGCUCGUAGGCGGCUUGGCAAGUCGGGUGUGAAAACUUCAGGCUCAACCUGGAGCGGCCACUCGAUACUGCCAUGGCUAGAGUCCGGUAGGGGACCACGGAAUUCCUGGUGUAGCGGUGAAAUGCGCAGAUAUCAGGAGGAACACCGGUGGCGAAGGCGGUGGUCUGGGCCGGAACUGACGCUGAGGAGCGAAAGCGUGGGGAGCGAACAGGAUUAGAUACCCUGGUAGUCCACGCCGUAAACGUUGGGCACUAGGUGUGGGGACCUAUCGACGGUUUCCGUGCCGUAGCUAACGCAUUAAGUGCCCCGCCUGGGGAGUACGGCCGCAAGGCUAAAACUCAAAGGAAUUGAC
rnacentral:rRNA from 1 species